rnacentral:lncRNA from 1 species
ACUGUGCCCUGAGCUUGGGCACCACCUUUACAGACCUGGCAUUGCAGGAGGCAUGUGGUGCUGCUGAACAAAAAAGCAGGGAGCUGAGUUCUCUUGAGAUCCUCCAUACUUUCCUCUUCCCAGAUCACUCAGCCCUCCUCUGAAGGAAUUCAGCAACCACCUGAUGACCUUGGGGUGCCAAUGUGCAGUUGUGCAUCCCCCCCAGCCAGUCUGUUUUUGAGGCACUCAGAGGCCAAUCUCUUGGAGGUCAUUUCAGAGCACUGGAGAGGCAGGGUGACCAAGCUUGGCUGGCAGCCUGCACAGGCCAUGGAGCAGCAGUCACCUGGCAGCAGCGAUCAGCAGGACUCACGGCAUGAUGAGUGCAGAGGGCAGAGGAGGCUGCAGAGGAAACUCGUGCCCGGCAGGUGGGGAGAAUGUGGCUGUCAGGUUGUACCUGUACCAUGAUCUCAUGCCUGAGGGAUGGUAACAAGCUGUAACUGUGUAAACCAAAGUGCCUCCCACAUUUGCUGCUCUGCCCCGAGUGCUGAGGCUGUGAGGAGUGUUGGAAUCUGAGGCAUUGAUGAUUCCGAGAUUGUAGAAAGUCUCUGUCUUUCUGCCCCGUUGCCAAAGAAGAAGCCAUAAUUCGUCUGUGCUGGUUUUCAAGGUUGUUUAUUCUUGCUUAUCUCUAACAUGUUCUGCUGCCCUGCCUCAGGUCUGUCCUGCAGGGCAGCGUGUGGGGCUCUGCCCCCAGUGGGAUGUUACAAACAUUAUAUACCAGAAACUACCUGUGCUAUAUUUACAAUAAUGUGCCAAUAUCUAUCACCUACGUUGAACAGUGUGUCCCCAGCCUAAACCAAUAGAAAAAUGCCAACACUACAGUGAAACAUGGAGGGCAUGAAGAAGGAGAAAAAGGACAAGACACACCCAAUUUCCUCCAUCUUGUCCCCUUUGGACCCCUUAUCUAGAAUCCUAAAAUUUUACUUUUGCACCUGUGCCACACUUAAUUAUUACUUAUAUCAAACACUCAGAGCUUGUAAUUCAUCCUGUAAGAUUGAAAACUCUUUUCCAUGGACAGAGAUCAGAGACAGUGUCUCUGGGGGCUCUGUACAGGGGGGUUCCUGACCCCCUGCCAGGGUCCCAGGCCUUCCAGGGCAGCCAGAGGGAAGCCCUGGAUUCCCACAAAGGAGGACACCUUAACCCACCUGGCAGCAUAGAUUCAGCCCUCAAGAAAAGCCCAGCUGUCUCCCUGAGCAGGUGGUUUCCAGGAAGAGCCACAUUGCUGACUGUGAGGAGCUGAAAGAACCAUGUAUGGGAUUUGCCUUAAAAUAGACAGAGAUACAGGAACAGAAUUCAGGUCCCAGGCAAUGUGGACUUGAUGGCAUCUCAGGCCUUUGGUCAGGAAGGGAAGUGCUGCUGAAGCUACAGCUGCCUCAGCCUUGACUGCCAGUGUGUCUGAUAACCUUAGGCAUGUUUUCACUCAAAGAAAGGAUUCUGGUUGAGAUUUUUGGUGGGCUUUUUUUUUUUUUUUGUUUAUGUGUUUUUUUGUUGCUGUUUUUUUUUUUCCCAGCCAAAUUCAUUCUACUUUAUUGUUUUCUGGUUUUCUAAAAGCCAAGCUGAGCAGGAAAUAGAUUCCCCCUUUCCCAAAGUUUUGAGAUAUUGUGAAAAGUGGUCUAUCUUAUAUUUGGAGAAUGAGAUCUCUAACAUUUCAAAUAAUUAAUAUUUUUCUAGGGAAAAGGAAGCACUUUUAGAAAUAUUUCAUUUCAGUAACCUUAAAAUGGUCUUUUUAGAACCAUCUUACUAUAUCUAGCCUUCUGGAUUUUAGCAACCAAGUACUGUAUUAACAACUAAGUAUUGUAUAAGUAUUGCAUAUCUGUAGUAAAUUUUUUUUCUUAAAAGCUAUCUAAAUGUUAUGAUACCUAGAAAAGGGAUUCCCUCAGCAGUAUUUCAAGCUGACAAGUUCUUUGAAAACAUCUUUUCUCCAAAAAUUAUCUGGUUCUGAGGAACCAGCAAUAUAUUUGAGAAAAGUUUGGUGAAAAACUUUCAGCAAAUUCUCCUGAAGCAUGUAUCUUUUCACUGUAAAGCAUUUCCUGGCCAUUUUCAAACCAAGAAGUGAUGAGUUGAAAGACAGAGUCUCUUGAUGGCAGCUGUAAAACACAGUGAGAUGAAUUUUUGGCUUCCAUUCACUCUUGCUGCGUAGCUUGGCUUUGCUCUUUGAAAUAGUUGCUGUAUGGUCCCGAUUAUAAAAAUUCACCGCAGUAUCAGUUGUUUUGGUAAAAUACUCUAAGAGCUAUUGGGACAGCACACUUCAGGUAGCAGGACCCCAGAACUGCUCAGGGCACAACAUCAGUGAGCAGGAGGAGAAAUGGAUUUGUCCUUAUUGCCCACCUGCUGCUUUGCUCUCUCAUGGCACAGCCUGCCUGCCCUGCAGCGUCUGCUGGAGCGCGUGGCACCCAGAGACCGUGUGAGUUAAUUAUUAAACAAAAUGGAACCAUUAUGCCCUGUGCCACUGCUGUUCCUCACAUAAAUCUGCUGCACAGUAGAAAAACGAUCCCGUGCAAUGAGAACAAAGGAACCUUUUCAGGAUGGGCACAUAUUCCUCUGCUGGAGAGCUGCUCUUCCUUCAUCUCCCUGGAAGAGUGAUGCAUUUGGUCUCCAUAAAGGUGGGGGAUGUUGGAUAGACAGAUGAAAGUGAUACAGAGCCUCACGGCACUGAUUUCCAUGAAUAAUCUCCCCAGCUGUUAGCCUAGAUCUGGAGCCAUUUCCUUUCAGAAAAUAAAUUUCUGCUAGCAACAUUUCAGGGUCCGGAAGGAAAUAUUUACAAGUUACCUUUGGCAUUUCAAGGCUAGCACAAUUUGCACUGAGCUUCCCUUGAACUUCUAGAUAAAAUAUUAACUCCUGGACACGGUGCAGAGGCCCUGGCAGGCUGUCAACCAGGAACACAAUUAAGAAGACAGUCUCUGGUGGGAUAGCAUCCUGUACUUUAAAAAGCAUCUGUGAAUAGUUUCACUUGACUGACAUACAGGAAAAAAAUGAAGACUUACAGGUGAGAUCCCCACAUGCCAGCCACCCAAGGAAGGGUCCCCUUAGCUGAAACAGUCAGUCAUCUCAGCUCUGGGAGGGGAUAGAAGAGAGCCAGUCUGGUUUCUCUGCUGUGAAGCCUUUCUGAAGCUUUUUCUCUUACACAAAGGGGAAAGGGUCUCUCCUCUGUGGCUGCUCAGCCUGGCAGACAUGGGAGGCCCAUGAAGAGCAUGUGCUGUGGUAAAAAGGGUGCCUGGGCUGAGACCCCAGCAGAUGGGUGUCCAGCAGCUGCAGCAGGGCCCUGGCUGAGGGGCAGAAGCUGAGAUUCUGGCAGAGGGUGGGUCAGGCCAUGGGUCUCAGGUUUAUCUUAGAUAUUUGGCUUGUGUCCAUCAUGUCCAGGUACCAUGUAGAGAGAGAUGCCCAAGUCUCUGCCUUUCACCACUCAGCAUAGUGGCCCUGUGGAGGCAGAGCUCUGUGGCUGGAAGUAAAUAGAAGGGCAACAGUGGCUGUUUCCCUGGGGAUUUAAUUCCUCAGGAUCUGUGCUCCAAGAACUUCUGCAGGCAGCCUGUGUGCUUGACACAGGCAUUUUGCUGCCCCUGUCUUUGCUGGCCAGUGCCAAGCUGAGUUGGUCCUUUGCUGCCCUCUCAAAGAGGGCAAAGGUUUUGGAAGGAGUCCCUCUGCUUUGCCACAUGCUGUAAUAGCAGGGACAGGGAAACACAGAGGUCAUGUGGCCUAGGCAAAGCAAAAAGCAAAAGGACUGGCAAGGCUGGCCAUGGCAGCCAGGACUCCUGCCUCCUGGGAGGCAGCCACUGGUUUAUAACACUGCUUCUCUGAAUGUUGUUUAAAGGGACAACAGAGAGCACACGCCUGCUCCUGCUGGGCUCAGUCAGUUGUGUUUGUCGUGGCUUUUGCUUCUCUUCAAGAGUUUACCUUGGCUCUGUCCCUACUGCUUCACUGGCACCCUGUGAAAGGACUGCAGUGACCCUUGUCCCCUGGAUGCAGAAGGAGUGCCUGGAAUAGACUAAGGAGUCAAGAAAUGUGCAUGCUCCAAGGCUGGCUAGCUGUGUUUUGCAGGCCUGCUGAUGCCCAGCCACAGCUGGAUGCGAGACGUGUGAUGAGGGUCUGUCCCACUCCAUGUCAUGUGUCACACACCACAGCAAUGCUGUGCUGUGGUCACCUCCCGUGGUGACCCCAGAGGCUGCACAGAGCUGCCCAGCUGCCCUGUAACCUCUUGGCUGUGAUGUUGGGCUUUGACCCCUGUGUGGUGCUGGGUAUCUCUGCAUUCCUGACGUAUCCCUUUGAGGAGACACCUGCUCACACCUCCAGAGUCACCCGGCCAAACUCUGCCUUUGCUUCAGGGGUGCAGUUGCUGUGUCAGAGGUCUGUAGUAACCUGCAAAGAUCAAAGUUUAGCAGGCUGCUCAGGGAAAGGAAAUCUGGUGAGCAAAGGGCACCUGGCACUCCAGGGCUGUGUGGUCCAUUUUACCACCAGCUCUCCUUCACUCUGCUCCCUGUCCCCUCCUCCAGACAGCACCACAGGGAGAUGGUAUGAAGGGGCCCAUUUCUGCAAAGGCUGGGGAAAACCUGGACUUGAAAGGCACAGCUGGAAGUCUGGCCUGCUCCAUGCUCACUGCACUCUUCCAUUCCUUCCUGAAGCAAGGGCACAUCCUUCCACAGGGAGUGGGGGCAAAGCUCACCUCCUUGCCUGUGCUCUGAGUUGGCUGGAUGUGCCAAGUUCAGGGGAGACAUAGAUGCAAAAGACCUGAGACUGAUUUGAAACCUAUCUCUUGGUAUCUGCAGCCCACUGCUUUCCACUUAUGUGUAUUUACUGCUGGCAUGAGCCAUACAGGAGCUUUCCUCUCUGCCUCUCUGAGCAGUUCAGAGGCAGUGUGUCAUCAACUGGUUCUGGACAAGUGCUAACUGCAAAAUGUGCUAAAUGAAUGUUAGUCCUCUAUUUCUGCAAUUGGCUGACUCAGGGAGCUGCAAGCACACAGAGCAAAAUCUUCUCUAGUGCUUUCUCCAUUGGGAUUUCUUGAGACCUCACAUGGUUGAAGAUAUGAGGGUAGUCUGGUCAUGCUCAGGUCAUUCUGAACUACUUCCCAGUGACCUCCUGAGCUGUGCCUCUCAUCUACCUCCCUGCUUGUCUUGUCUUCCUUUGCAGGAAGGAACCUGUAACCAGGCAUCCUGUUUUGCCUGCCUAGAGCCAGGACCUUGCAGCUCAGUGCUAUGUGGACUCUCACCAUCUCCACUACAUUAUGGCCAAUAGACAUGCAAGCAGCUUCCCAGAACAACUCUGUGUAAAAUAUUCAACAUCCUAGCAGGAGCAGGGUGUCUCCAGUACUUGUGACAUCACUUAGGUUCAGCUUAGCUCUAAGUCAGUGUUUACAGGUGGAUUAUUUUUAAGCAGAAAUUCAAGUGAAUCUAGUUCAUGGAUAGGUACAAGUUAUAAAGAAAAUGCACAAAGGUCGUGCAGAAUUAGGAUUACUCUCUGUAGAAAGAAGUAGGCUGAAUUGUCUUUGUCCUAAAUCAGGACUAAAGUGCUGAGAAAAGUCCUAGAACUCCAUCUUUCCUGCCUCUGGUGAUAAAGGCGACUGAGGAGAAAGAAGGAUAUGGAACCUAGGCAGUCAGCACCUUCUUUCUCCUAAAAGGGACUGCACCAGCCUUCUUCACUUGCCCUCUGUAAACCUUAGCUUCCUUAGCCAUUGUGGCGGGAAAACACACAGAAUAAAGUAAUUUUGUCUUCCCUCCUUCCCAAAGAACCUUUAUUUAUUGUUUCUACUGUACACCUUGAUUUCAGGAUGUUAUCCUGGAUUCGGAUGUUUAAGUGUUUUCCCAUGCCUGCAGCCUCCCUGUAACCAUACAAGCCAGAGAUCAGGAGAUAUGCAUCACAGCAGGGGAUCUGGCACAGCCUCCUCUUUUUUCCUCUACUUGGAAAGAACAGGGACAAAUAUUAGCUUGAGAUGAAAGAGAAUGUCUUCACUUUGUUAGGAACAGGGAACUGAUAAUGGCUCUACCUCACAUGCUUGGCUAGCUUUGUGCCAUACCAUGGGAGGCUGCCAAACUCGAGUUCAGCUGAUCCCUCACUAUCUGCAAGGGAAGGCAGAGCCAAUGCCCACUCAACGGGACUUUGUCCUCCCCAUGGCAGGCAGCUUAUGAAACGUCAGCCUUUGCGUGUGCUGGCAUGGCAGCACGACUCUGGCCCUCACAAUAGCGGCGUUCUCCGUGGGCUCAGCUGGAAGAGGUUCACACAGAGUUAAACCUAUGCUCAGAGCACUUUUCAGCAAGAUCCCAUCAGUUAUUGGCAGGGCCUGAGGCAACAGGCUUGGGGCUGGAUGCACUUUCCACAGCAUGAGUACUGAACAAUGGUGUGUGUGUGUGUGUGUGUGUGUGUGCGUGUGCACUUAUGAGUCCGUAUUGCAUGUGUGCUCUGUACAUGUAGGCUAAAACCCACGGGUUUUCAGAGCUGUUAAUAAUCACCCAGCACAUUUCAUCCAUUCUGUGGAUGGGGCACAGGGGAAGGCUGGCCUUGUCUGACCACGCCAUCCAGACACUGUGCCUUGCCCCUGCUAUCUCAGCGCCCUCUGCGUUGCUGCAGACCUGUAUGCAUGGAGCACCUCCUUGCCAAUGCCAUUAAUUCUUUCCUGUUCAGAGAUGUUUUCAAAUGGCAAGAAAAUACUGUUCUGGCUUCUGUAGUCCUUUCAAAGGGUGAGUUAACUGUUCCCUUGAUGCCUUCAUGUUUGGAUCUGCUGCAGGCAGGAUUGGGUGCAUCUUCUGAGCACAAGUUGGCCCUAUGGCCAUUUAUAAGUAAGGGUUAAUAAGGAGGUGGGGCUCUGAAGAGUUUUGUCUUGUUCCUGUUUGUCUGAGCUGGAACACCUUCCUCUGAGCUUCAUUUGCAAUAGCUGCUUGCAGAUGGAGCUCUGCCUUCAACCUGACUUGAGAGAGGCAGACAGGGUGCUUGAGAGGACUCUCUCCGGUUCGUAGGAAAGUAAUUCAUUGGCGUGACUGUGGUUUCCCAAGCAAUCUGCUCUUUUGUUGGAAAUCAAACUAGCUGACACAGGCAAGGGGAAAUGUUUGUUCAGUGUGAGAUCAGAGGCUCUUGUUUUGAAAGUUCAGUUUUAUCCUCAGUCCCAACUUCUCUCUAUACACCAUUAAUCACUUGCCUGGGAACAGAGAGUUUGAACCGUCUCCAGAGCUGUACAAGCAGAUUUGGUGGCUGUCAGUAGUACUCUGUAAAUAAGUACCAGCAGGCAACUGUGUAAGUAAACAGCUUCUUUGGGAGCACCACUGCCUUUCUCCACAGUUUACAUUAGUGCAGCGGAAGGGCUCUGUCAGCUUUUGCAGGGACAGCCUAAGCACCACACACCAGGCAGGAACAAGCUGCAACUUCCAAUUGACAGUUUUACCACCCGCUUCCCUGCAGCUCAGAAAGAGCAGGAUUUGUAUUGGGAAGCUGGGAAACCAGCUGUGUCACAGAAACAGCUGUGCUGUGACAUCGUCUUUGUCCCUCAGUGUGCAUGUGUUUCAACAUAGGCUAUAGUUACACAAGUGUGAACUCACCUUACCUAUGGGGCCAACAUUCUUACAAAAUGGGUUGUGCCUGCCAGAAGAAAGGCAUGGUUUUAGGAUGGAUGACUGGAGGACAAAUUCCAUUUUAAUAGAAUAGGUAGGCUUCUACAGAAAGGCAUUCUGGUGCAACUGAGAGUAAUAUAUGUCCUGAGAUCUUUUAAGUAUUCUCUCUAGAAAAUAUUUUUAUGACCAUUUACAUGGAAUAUUUCAGAAUUUCUUUUGUAUGUACGUGUGUGAUUGAAAUGUAGAGAAAAUGAAUGUAAUUUUCCUUAAAAGUGUUCAUUUCCAUUAAAAGGCUAUUUUUCCACUAAAU